rnacentral:rRNA from 1 species
ACAUGCCUACAGGAUAGUGUUAAUGCAUCGGAUCCCAUUAGAAUUCCAUAGUUAAGUGCUCUCGGGCUAGAGUAGUACUGGGAUGGGUGACCUCCCGGGAAGUCUUAGUGUUUUACAUGCC